rnacentral:rRNA from 1 species
AUUGAACGCUGGCGGCAGGCCUAACACAUGCAAGUCGAGCGAGCGGCGGACGGGUGAGUAAUGUCUGGGAAACUGCCUGAUGGAGGGGGAUAACUACUGGAAACGGUAGCUAAUACCGCAUACCAUCAGAUGUGCCCAGAUGGGUUUAGCUGGUAGGUGGGGUAACGGCUCACCUAGGCGACGAUCCCUAGCUGGUCUGCGAGGGGGACCAGCCACACUGGAACUGAGACACGUCCCAGACUCCUACGGGAGGCAGCAGUGGGGAAUAUUGGACAAGGGGCGCAAGCCUGAUGCAGCCAGGCCGCGUGUGUGAAGAAGGCUUUGGGGCGGUAAAGCACUUUCAGCGGGGAGGCGUUACCCGCAGAAGAAGCACCGGCUAACUCCGUGCCAGCAGCCGCGGUAAUAC